GUCAGGGAGAAGAGCACAGCUUUGGCACCCAGGGCCUUGGUGUCGGCAGUGCCAAGCAGCAGGAGCUCGCUGUGGCCUAGGACCUUUGGGCUGACGUGGUGUGUGGUGGAGAUGAUGCACACAGCACUUUGUUACGACAUGGGUGUUGUUCAGAGCCAGCCCAAGACAAGCAGACGUCAUUAUAGUAGCUGGGACCCUCACUAACAAAAUGGCACCUGUGCCCCGAAAGGCUAUCCUGCCACAGCAGAAGCUCUGAUGUAAGGCACAUUGCAGGUAACGGAAGAAGAUCAAGCAGAUGAGGACCUGUUUCUACAUGGUGUAUUUACAGCUGAUGAUUGACAUUAUAUGGUGCAGUGAAAUAUGCUGGAGCAAAUUAGGGUUAAGUGCCUUGCUCAAAAGGGCAAGUCAACAAAUGAGACUUGUCGGCUCGGGUAUUUGAACCAGUGACCUUUCAGAUACUAUCCCAACGCUCUAACC